rnacentral:rRNA from 1 species
UGGGGAAUUUUGGACAAUGGGCGAAAGCCUGAUCCAGCAAUGCCGCGUGUGUGAAGAAGGCCUUCGGGUUGUAAAGCACUUUUGUCCGGAAAGAAAUCCUUGGCUCUAAUACAGUCGGGGGAUGACGGUACCGGAAGAAUAAGCACCGGCUAACUACGUGCCAGCAGCCGCGGUAAUACGUAGGGUGCAAGCGUUAAUCGGAAUUACUGGGCGUAAAGCGUGCGCAGGCGGUUUGCUAAGACCGAUGUGAAAUCCCCGGGCUCAACCUGGGAACUGCAUUGGUGACUGGCAGGCUAGAGUAUGGCAGAGGGGGGUAGAAUUCCACGUGUAGCAGUGAAAAUGCGUAGAGAUGUGGAGGAAUACCGAUGGCGAAGGCAGCCCCCUGGGCCAAUACUGACGCUCAUGCACGAAAGCGUGGGGAGCAAACAGGAUUAGAUACCCUGGUAGUCCACGCCCUAAAACGAUGUCAACUAGUUGUUGGGGGAUUCAUUUCCUUAGUAACGUAGCUAACGCGUGAAGUUGACCGCCUGGGGAGUACGGUCGCAAGAUUAAAAACUCAAAGGAAUUGACGGGGUCAUAGCUGUUUCCU